UGAUGGUGCUAGUGGGCCGGAUCUUGUGCCCAUCUUUGUACCACUCUCCUGGGACGUCUUCCAGAGAAACCUCACACAUGAAGACAGCGUUGUGGUCCUCCUGGAUGUAAAGGUCCUCCAGAUCGUGCACUAACUCCAACUUGUGCUCUGAGAGGAGCCAGAGUCAGCCAGAGAGCACAGCAAAAUCUGACAGAAACGCUUUCGCCCCAUGGAGUAGAUCCGACAGUUCUUUCCUGGCUUCAGCUCCGUCCCAUUCUGGUUCACAAAAGCAAGCGUGCACAGAGACAUGACAGAGGAGCACCACAGGGUCCAGCUCCAUACUGCUCUUAUGGAGCUCCUCUUCUGGGACGGGAGUAAACUCCACAGGUCGACCUGCAGAAAACAGGAGGAGUCAGCAGCUGGAACACAAGAAAAUCCUGAGAAGCACUUUUUCCUGAUAAACACUUCUUACCUGCAACAUCCACAUUGAAUUUGAUGACAUCUCCAGAAGUUUCACAUGCGUAAACUCCAGAGUGAGAUGCAUCAGCUGAUUGGAUCACAAUUCUCCUCAUGUUCCCAUCUGCUUGGAUGUUAAGACCAUCGGUCACCUCCAUCUCCUUGCCAUCUUUGAACCAGGAUACUUUUGCAAAGGGGUGGGAGACUUCACAGUAGAGCACAAUAGCAUCACCUAUGUCCACCCUUUUUUUGCUGUCUAAGUCUGACAGAGGACUGAAUUUUAUGACUGCAGCUGCAAAGAAGUAAACCCACAAUCAAACACCAAAGGACAGCAUCAUUAACAUGUUAAAUGUGACAGAAUAAAUAUUUCUACACCUACGUUUCACUCUGAGUACAGCUGAAUCUCUGACUCCGUUGGCUAUAAAUGUGAUCUCUGCUGUGUCCUCUGCAGCGCAAGUUUCACGAAUAACCAAUGAGUGCUUUGUUUGGGACUGUUGUACUGAAUAUCGGCCGCCAUGUUGCAGUUGUGCGCUAUUUAAAAACCAGGUUCCAACCAUUGUUGCAGACAGUUCAAUGGAGAAGUGGGCGUCUUCUCCUUCUACAACUUCACAGCCUUUCAUGUUACAGUGAAUCUUGGGUCCAGGAACUAAGGAAACAGUAUAAUUUUAAGUUUACAAAGAAUUUAAACCUCAUUGGAAUUUGAAAUAACAUGAAUAUUUAAGCAUCAUUCUGCAUUGUAAACAUUUGUAUUAAAUUGAAUCCACCAGCAUGAAAGCCAGUACUCAAAUGUCUUUCAUGUAGCCUAUGUUUUAAGAGAAUGAAGAUAGAUUUACAAUGAAUAAAAUGUUCAUUUCUUCUUCACAGUUAUCCUCCUUACCCAGAUGGACAGCUUUGGGAAACUCCACAUGACCGCUUCUCCCGUACUUGUUGAUGCAGCAAACACGGAACCGGUAGUCGCCUUCACAUGGCACGCUGUCACCAGCGACCUCAGCUGUAGUCGCAGUCUCUGAGGUGAAACACUUCUGCCACUCUUGGGAGCCAACUUCCUGUCUCUCCACAACAAAGAUGGAUCGGGUGGAGGUCUGGCUGUUGGGGGCUGGC